GUUGGUGUAUAAUCCUUUAGCUGAAGCUUGGCAGCAAGAAUCAGGUUUCUAUGUUUUGUUUCAGUUUGAAUGUGAGCCAUUGGAUCAUAGUCCACAUGGCAUUUUAAUCUUGUAUCUAGUCUAAGUAAUAGAAUAAGCCAAGUGGCAUCAUCUCAUAGGGUGAUAGCAAUGAAUGGCUAAGAUUGUAUUAUAUGUUGAAGAGUGAAGGAUCUCCCUUCCUUUCUUCAUAUAACGGUUAGAUUGUAUUAUGUGAAAUCUUAAUGAAAUUCGAAGAGACAUUUUGCAGCUUCUUCUCUCUGAAACUCUCUCCAUCUUUGAAGACAACCUCCAUUGAAACACAUAUUGAAAACACACACACAAACACUAACAUGGCCUCAGAGCCUGGUUUCAUCGUCUAAUCUGGGCGUGAAAUCUGUGCGAUUGAGCUACAUCUUUGAGCUUCAAUCGAAUCUGGAAAUUGUGAUUUCGUGUAUCCAAGUCUCAUAUGGCUGGGUCCGGCAAUGUCGAGCUUAGAGCUCCCGUCUUCAAUGGAGAGAACUAUGAAUUUUGGAGGAUUCGUAUGACAACUAUACUGAAAUCGUAUGGUUUGUGGGAGUUGGUAGAAAAUGGGUUUGAACCACCAGAUCCGAAGUCUGAGAAAGCUGUGGUCGAUGAGACGAAGAAGGAGACGACGGAUGGAGUGUCGUUCAGUGAGAUCCUGAUGAAGGAUGCUCGUGCGCUUGGAAUGAUACAAGGUGCAGUAUCGGAUCAGAUUUUUCCCAGAAUCGUGAAUGAAGAGACAUCCAAAGGAGCUUGGGAUGUUCUAAAGGGUGAAUUCCGAGGAGAUAAACAAGUAAGAAAUGUAAAACUGCAAGGUUUACGUAGAGAUUUUGAAUAUACUCGUAUGAAGGAUAGUGAAUCAUUAUCUGUGUAUCUCUCUAGAUUGUUUGAUAUCAUUAAUCAAAUGAAAAGUUAUGGAGAAGAGCUAUCUAGGGAGAGAAUUGUGCAGAAAUUACUUAUUAGUCUUCCGAAAACAUAUGAUGCAAUUUGUUCUGUAAUUGAGCAUUCUAGAGAUCUUGAAAUUAUUGAGGUGCAGGAGGUUGUAGCUUCUCUAAAAGGAUUCGAACAUAGGCUUGAUUUACAUACUGAGUCUUCGACUGAGAGGGCAUUUGCAAGUCUUAAUGUAGCAUCUAAGGGUGUCAAAAGUGGUGGAUUUUCUGGGAAUCAAAGGUCUCAAGAGAGUUGGAAAUCAAGGGGGAAAAAUUGGGAUUAUAAACCAAACCAUGUUCAGAAGCAGAGUAAUACUAAAAGGAAUUGGGAUCACAAACCCAAUUAUCCUCAGAGACAGAACAAUACUCAAAGGAAUUGGGAUCAUAGGCCUAAUUAUGUCCAGAAGCAAAACAAUGCUCAGGGUGAUUGUAAGUGGUGUGACAGGUUGCACUAUGGGAAGUGUUGGUAUGAAGGUAAACCAAAGUGCACAGGCUGUGGUAAGCCAGGUCAUUCUAUGAGAGACUGUCAUGAGAAUAAAUGAGUGCAGAAGGUUAAUUAUGUGAAGCAAAUGGGAGAAAUAGGAUCACUGUUUUAUGCCUGCAAUGCAGUGACCGAUGUGCAAGUCAAUAACUCAUGGUACAUUGAUAGUGGUUGUAGUAACCACAUGACAGGAGAUGAGAGAUUAUUGGUCAAUGUUCAGAGAGAUUUGACCUCCAAAGUAAAGAUGGGAACUGGAGAAAUUUGUCAAGUGGCAGGAAAGGGAACCUUGGUGAUUGAAACUAAAUUGGGAAGAAAACAUAUACAAGAAGUAAUGCUUGUUCUUGGACUUGAGGAAAACCUUCUAAGUGUAGGACAAAUGAUGGAAAACGGUUAUUAUUUGUUGUUUGGAGGUGAUGUAGUGAAUAUUUUUUAUGGAUGGUCACUGGACAAUUUAGUAGUGAGGGUACAUAUGACCAACAAUCGAUGUUUUCCUUUGACAAUGUUGCCUGCAACACAGUAUGCAUUAAGGGCAGGUAUCACACAUUGUUCUCAGAUAUGGCAUAAGAGGUUGGGUCAUUUGAAUGAGAGAAGUCUCAAGGUACUUGAGGAACAGGGGUUGGUGCAUGGAUUACCUAAACUAGAAAUGUCCCAAAGUGUGUGUGAAGGUUGCAUGUUGGGUAAACAACACAGAGACUCAUUCCCUUCUCAAUCGACUUGGAGAGCUAAAGAUCCACUGGAGUUGAUCCAUACUGAUAUCUGUGGUCCAAUGCAAGUAGAGUCUCAUUCUGGAAACAAGUAUUUUCUGUUGUUUACAGAUGACUGCACAAGGAUGUCAUGGGUGUAUUUUUUGAGAAACAAGUCUGAAGCGUUUGAAUGUUUCAAAAAGUUCAAGGCAAUGACUGAGUUACAAUGUGGAUAUAAGGUUAAAUGUCUCAGGAGUGAUCGAGGAGGAGAAUUCCUUUCUGCAGAGUUUGACAAAUACUGUAAUGGACAAGGAAUUCAGAGACAAUUGACUAUGGCCUACACUCCUCAACAAAAUGGAGUGUCCGAAAGAAAGAAUAUGACUGUGGUGGAGAUGGCAAAGUCAAUGCUACAUGAAAAAAACCUUCCAUAUGCAUUUUGGGCAGAAGCAGUGAAUACUGCAGUCUAUUUGAUCAAUAGGUGUCCUACCAAAGCUUUGAAGAAGUCAACCCCAUUUGAAGCUUACAGUGGCAGAAAACCUGGAAUAGCUCAUUUGAAGAUAUUUGGCUCACUGUGUUAUGUGCAUAUCCCUUCCAAUCUCAGACAUAAAUUGGAAGAAAACAGUCACAAGUGUAUCUUUGUAGGCUAUGGUUCAAGUGAGAAGGGUUACAGAUUGUUUGAUCCCAUUUCAAGGAAGAUUGUUCUCUCAAGGGAUGUCACAUUUGAUGAGAAUAAAUCUUGGGAUUGGAACUGCAAUAUAGAUACUGGAGUGACAUUUCCAGUUAUCACUGAACAUAAGAAUGCUAAUGAAAUCUGUAAGGUUGAUGAAAAUUCUCAGUUUGAAGAAUACAAUGUUUCUCAAAGUGAGAAUGUGCUUGAGAGAUCUCCAACUUAUGAUGAUACACAGAAGAAAUGGAGAAGUAUCAAUGACAUCAUGGCUCAAUGCAACAUGUGUGUUAUUGAACCAGAAAGUUAUGAGGAUGCAGCUAAAGAUGAUUCAUGGAGGAGUGCAAUGAAAACUGAAUUGGACAUGAUUGAGAAGAACAACACAUGGCAGCUUGUUGAGAGACCAUAUGACAAGCCUGUUAUUGGUGUUAAAUGGGUCUAUAAGACCAAACUUAAUCUGGAUGGCACGGUGCAGAAGAAUAAAGCUCGGCUGGUGGCUAAAGGCUAUUCACAAAAGCCCGGAAUCGACUAUAAUGAAACUUUUGCCCCUGUGGCAAGGUUGGAUACGAUUAGAACUUUAAUUGCCCUUGCUGCACAGAAGAAAUGGAACUUGUAUCAAUUAGAUGUAAAGUCUGCAUUUCUCAAUGGGGUACUGAAAGAAGAAGUGUAUGUUGAGCAACCUCAAGGCUUUGUGAAGGAAAAUGAAGAAACAAAGGUGUACAAGUUGAACAAGGCUCUAUACGGCUUGAAACAAGCACCAAGAGCCUGGUAUGAAGAGAUUAAUGCAUACUUCAAUAGCGCAGGGUUUGAGAAAAGUUCAAGUGAGGCAACUUUGUAUGUCAAGACAAGUAAGGACUCAGGUAUCAUUAUUGUCUCUCUAUACGUAGAUGACAUUGUAUAUACUGGUAGUAGUCCACAAAUGCUUGAGGAAUUUAGAAAUGACAUGAUGAAACACUAUGAGAUGACUGACUUGGGCUUAUUACAUCAUUUCCUUGGAAUGGGUGUGCUACAAACUGAGAACAGCAUUUUUAUACACCAAAAGAAAUAUGCACAGAAACUAAUUGAGAAGUUUGGUCUGAAAGAAUGCAAGUCAGUUGCUACUCCACUUGCAAUGAAUGAAAGGUUGAGCAAAGUUGAUGGAAGUGAACCUGCGGAUGAAGGAGAAUAUAGGCAGCUUGUUGGAAUUCUGCUCUAUUUAAUUGCAACUAGACCUGAUGUGAUGUUUGCAGCAAGUAUGUUGGCAAGGUUCAUGCAUAAUCCCACUAAGAAACAUAUGGGAACAGCUAAGAGGGUACUGAGAUACAUCCAGGGAACAAUCGAUUUUGGUAUUGUCUUUGAAAGGGGAAAAGCUAUUACCCUAAUCGACUACUGUGAUAGUGAUUGGGCUGGAAGUGAGGAUGAUAUGAGAAGUACUUCAGGGUAUGCAUUCACACUAGGAUCUGGUAUGUUCUCAUGGGCUUCAAUCAAACAAAACACUGUGGCACUGUCUACUGCAGAAGCAUAAUAUGUUAGUGCAGCAGAGGCUACAUCACAAGCAAAGUGGCUGAGAUUUGUUCUAGAAGACUUUGGAGAAGAACAAGUGGAAGGAACUCAGAUCUUGUGUGAUAAUACAUCAGCCAUUGCUAUGGCAAAGAAUCCAGUCUUUCAUCAAAAGACAAGACACAUCAACAGGAAGUUCCAUUUCAUCCGAGAAGCAAUUCAAGCCAAAGAGAUUGAGUUAGUGUACUGCAGGACAGAGGAGCAGAUUGCAGAUAUACUUACUAAGGCUUUACCUAAAGAUCGAUUUGUGUAUCUAAGGGAGCUACUUGGAGUUAAAUCAGCCAAGGAUUAGAAGGGAGUGUUGGUGUAUAAUCCUUUAGCUGAAGCUUGGCAGCAAGAAUCAGGUUUCUAUGUUUUGUUUCAGUUUGAAUGUGAGCCAUUGGAUCAUAGUCCACAUGGCAUUUUAAUCUUGUAUCUAGUCUAAGUAAUAGAAUAAGCCAAGUGGCAUCAUCUCAUAGGGUGAUAGCAAUGAAUGGCUAAGAUUGUAUUAUAUGUUGAAGAGUGAAGGAUCUCCCUUCCUUUCUUCAUAUAACGGUUAGAUUGUAUUAUGUGAAAUCUUAAUGAAAUUCGAAGAGACAUUUUGCAGCUUCUUCUCUCUGAAACUCUCUCCAUCUUUGAAGACAACCUCCAUUGAAACACAUACUGAAAACACACACACAAACAC
rnacentral:lncRNA from 1 species